GAUGAACGCUGACAGAAUGCUUAACACAUGCAAGUCAACUUGAACUUCGGUUUGGGUGGCGGACGGGUGAGUAACGCGUAAAGAACUUGCCUCACAGCUAGGGACAACAUUUGGAAACGAAUGCUAAUACCUGAUAUUAUGAUUAUAUGGCAUCGUAUAAUUAUGAAAGCUAUAUGCGCUGUGAGAGAGCUUUGCGUCCCAUUAGCUAGUUGGAGAGGUAACAGCUCACCAAGGCGAUGAUGGGUAGCCGGCCUGAGAGGGUGAUCGGCCACAAGGGGACUGAGACACGGCCCUUACUCCUACGGGAGGCAGCAGUGGGGAAUAUUGGACAAUGGACCGAGAGUCUGAUCCAGCAAUUCUGUGUGCACGAUGAAGUUUUUCGGAAUGUAAAGUGCUUUCAGUUGGGAAGAAAAAAAUGACGGUACCAACAGAAGAAGUGACGGUUAAAUACGUG
rnacentral:rRNA from 1 species